AAGUCAGAUGUGAAAAGCCCGGGGCUCAACCUCGGAAUUGCAUUUGAAACUGGCAAACUAGAGUACUGUAGAGGGGGUAGAAUUUCAGGUGUAGCGGUGAAAUGCGUAGAGAUCUGAAGGAAUACCGGUGGCGAAGGCGGCCCCCUCGGACAGAUACUGACACUCAGAUGCGAAAGCGUGGGGAGCAAACAGGAUUAGAUACCCUGGUAG
rnacentral:rRNA from 1 species